UAGAAGCAGCUCUGUAAUGAGAGUACCUUGGCAGCCCAGGUCUAUCAGGUAUUACUUGAUAAAAAAACUACAGAAUCAUGUGAGUCUGUAAGAGAUAUUUUAAGCACUGGUAACGAGAAUUUAAUAAGCUAGCAAAUAGGCCGGGUGAGUUUAUUAAUGCGAGCUUAUUGGCCUUGAGAGUAGUUUGUAGUAUUAAUUAAAGAUGGAUCAGUCUAUUUCCAGGCUGUGUCCCUUUCAAAUGUGUUUAUUCAUUCUGUUUUUGCAAUAAUUUGGGGGGGAAAGAAAAAAGUCAACUCUGCAUGAAAUUUGCCUUUAAAUUCGUAAUCAUGUAUUUUGAACAGAUUUUCUCACAAUACACCCACUUUUUUCUAAAUUUAUGCAUUUCUAAACAUAUUUUAUCUAAAUAUAUACAUUUUAAAUGCAUUUCAAAGGUGAAAACUGCACCACAAAAUUCAGAGCAGUGCUGAAUCUAAAAAAUAAUGACAUUUUCAUCUACAGAUUAGUUUGGGAAGUGUAGAAAGGGUCAGUGCGUAUUUGCAAAGCACAAAUUAUUAUCACAAAUGUAGUAUUAACUGCCAUGAAAAUCCUCUUAGUCACAAUAUAUGUGGCGGUGAAGGUCCUGUGCGAGUACCUGGAGGCGGUUGGAGGAUGGAUGGCGGCUAACAGAUUAAGACAGAAGUGCUCUUUUGGGGGGACAGGGGGCGGGCAGAUGUGGGGCACUCCCUGGUCCUGAAUGGGGCAACUGUUCCCCUGAAGGAGCAGGUGCGCAGCCUGGGAGUCCCUAUCUGCCAGCGGACUGUCUCGCUAGAGUGGUGCAUGCUCCAGUUAUCUCUCGCUUGGACUACUGCAUUUGCUCUAUGUGGGGCUGCCUUUGAAGGUGACCCGGAAAAUACAGCUAAUCCAGAAUGCAGCAGCCAGACUGGUGACUGGGGCGACCGCCGACACCACAUAACACCGGUCUUGAAAGACCUACAUUGGCUCCCAGUACAUUUCCGAGCACAAUUCAAAGUGUUGGUGCUGACCUUUAAAGCCCUAAAUGGCCUCGGCCCAGUAUACCUGAAGGAGCGUCUCCACCCCCAUCGUUCUGCCCGGACGCUGAGGUCCAGCGCCAAGGGCCUUCUGGCAGUUCUCUCACUGCGAGAAGUGAGGUUACAGGGAACCAGGCAGAGGGCCUUCUCGGUAGUGGUGCCCGCCCUGUGGAAUGCCCUCCCAUCAGAUGUCAAGGAAAUAAACAACUAUUAGAAGACAUCUGAAGGCAACCCUGUUUAGGGAAGUUUUUAAUGUUUGAUAUUUUAUUGCUUUUUUUAUUCUGUUGAGAGUCACCCACAGUAUUUCUUGUAUCUCUAGUAUCCCUCCUUCAUUUAGAGGCUUAGGCCUUCUGAAUAAUUGUUUGUACUCUAGUGCAGUGCUACUCAAAGUGCAUCAUAGAAUCAUGGAGUUGGAAGGGACUCUGAGGAUCAUCUAGUUCUAGUCCAACCCCCUGCAAUGCAGAAAUAUGUAACUGUCCCAUAUGGGGAUCGAACCUGCAACCUUGGCAUUAUCAGCACCAUGCUCUAACCAACUGAGCAGCAGUCCACAGACUGGUGUUGGUCCACAAGCCCAGCUGCUGGUCUACAGCCCAGUUUUGGUGUGAUGCUUCAGAGACCAAAUAUGGUACCGGUUCCUGGCACAAGGAGGAGGCGGAUUGCCGGUCCACAACAUCAGAUUGUUUGAGAAGCGCAUGAUGUCAGUGGGCAGAGUGUUAAGACCGCCUACCUCUGUUUUGAUUUGUUCUCAAAUGGACACACUGAGGGGUAAUACUGAAUCAAUCUGUAAUGUGCUUUUAUUUCCGGAAUGAAACCAGUUUCUCAAUAAAUACAUUUCAGGGGUAAAAUAUAUGCAAUAGGUGCUAGCUCGUGUGCGGACUACGUAAAAAUACAAGUGUCUCCAUUGAUUCUAGAAUAACAAUGUUGUGUGUACACAGCCUGAAACUGGCAGUCACAGGUUAAUGGCUGAAGCAUAUGCGGACUCCACUCCAAAUAUCUAGGAAGUGCUUCACAUUAUUAAGGGAAGCUAUUAGUUCUUUUACUUAAAAUUACUGCAGAUAAUAGGCUGACCAGAAUUUUAGUUAGUUAAUACAUACUGCCAAGAAGAAACUCUUAAAGUAUCUUAUUGUAUUAUAUUUCCUAACUGAAUAUUGUUCCUAAGACGGCUUAUCUUGAAUCUUACAGUGUGUUAAUUUCCUACCAUAGCAGUGCCAGCACUAGAAAAAAAAUAUAUUGGGGAGGGCACAGAAGCGCAACGCGCAUUUUUGUGGGGUGGGGGCAGCUAUAUGGAAAUAUGUGAUUGGUCCCUAAAAUGCAUAUUUUUUCACCCAACAGGAUAAUUUGUGAUAAAGAGAAUGGUUAUCAGUUUCAAAUAAACCUCCAGCUUCCAAUCACAUUUUUCCCCCCUGUGAAACUCAAACUGUGAAGUCUCUAGAAAAUGCUGAAGGAAACCUACUGAUAACUCCUGAUGGAAAGUAACAGCAAUUUAAGUUGUUAAAUGUCAGUUUUCUAGCAAAGUGGAAUUCAUUUAUUUCAUUCCCUCAAACCUACAAACACUUGGUUAUCACAUAGUUUGAGCUAAAAUUAAUUAAUCAAAUCACCCUAACUUAAAAUGUGUGAGGUCAGAGUGGUUUGUCAACACCCUUUAAUAAGUUCCUGGGUGUGGGAUAGUAAAAUCCACAACCUGUUUCAUAUUUAUAUGAGAAAUUAAUGCUGUAGGUUUUUUUUUAUGUUGAACAUACACCACUGAGCAUGCAUCAAAAUAAAUUUUGAUUCAGUGUUGACCUUCAAUAAUAAUAUGCAGCUCAAUUACUCCCACUUAUAUGUGGAAAUUACAGUAUCUGCAGAAGUUUUAUAACUCAGGCAGGAUUUCUAUUCAUUGUUAAUUUUAGAAGUAGAUAUAGAAAUCUACUGUGAUUCUUGCCCUCUGACUAUAUGUCCAAACUUUUUUAAAAUUCUGUAGCUAGUAAUUUACUUUUCAAUUGUAGAAUGUUUAUUACCUUUUAGUCUUCAUAGCUGUUUGUUUAAAUGAACAAAUGAGAACAAGGCACAUUUGAUUUUGUCUUCUUUAGUUCUCAG
rnacentral:lncRNA from 1 species